rnacentral:rRNA from 1 species
AUUGAACGCUGGCGGAAUGCUUUACACAUGCAAGUCGAACGGCAGCACGGACUUCGGUCUGGUGGCGAGUGGCGAACGGGUGAGUAAUGUAUCGGAACGUGCCCAGUCGUGGGGGAUAACGUAGUGAAAAUUACGCUAAUACCGCAUACGAUUUAUGGACUAAAGCGGGGGAUCGCAAGACCUCGCGCGAUUGGAGCGGCCGAUAUCAGAUUAGGUAGUUGGUGGGGUAAAGGACCACCAAGCCAACGAUCUGUAGCUGGUCUGAGAGGACGACCAGCCACACUGGAACUGAGACACGGUCCAGACUCCUACGGGAGGCAGCAGUGGGGAAUUUUGGACAAUGGGCGAAAGCCUGAUCCAGCCAUUCCGCGUGCAGGAUGAAGGCCCUCGGGUUGUAAACUGCUUUUGUACAGAACGAAAAGGUUUCUACUAAUACUAGGAGCUCAUGACGGUACUGUAAGAAUAAGCACCGGCUAACUACGUGCCAGCCGCCGCUGUAA